CCUUUACUCCCUUCACUCACUCACACCUUCUCUCUUGCUCUGUUGUAAGAUACAAACAGAGCGGAUGGUUGCACGAUGGCCUUUUUCAGUUUUGUCAACUGAACGUCUACUAGUGAGGCUCAGCAAGUUCUUGUCAUGAUCAGCCCUCUCCAAGAAAGCUGAAGAGCAAAAACACAAAGAACAUCAGUCCUGUUGGGGAUGAGGAAUGAACAUGGCUCUAUUGUCCCCAAACAGAAAAGACUGAAAAGAAUGAACAAAUCAUCAGUGAAUCAUUUCUGGAAUUUGGGCAGAAAAUGACUGAAUAUGAAAGACUGCAGUAGAAGGAAAGCUGAACUGAAAACAUUUGUCUUCACUCACAUGCUCCAGACGAAAGAGAAGCGGGUCUGAGGACCGAGAUGGAGGAGUCAAUGGUCACCAAGUGCAGCACUGCAGCCUGAAACUGUGAAGACUGGAUUCCCAAACUACUCUGUGACAGCACAAAUGUUACAGCCAUAAAAGAAACUUCUCAACUGAGAGCACAUACCUCCAACAACCUUCAACAGGAA